ACUGGAUUCCUUCUGCAGCAAGGCACAAAGAACCUGAACCUCCGUGAGUCCAGACACAGGCUAUCUCCGGUUUAUCCAAAUUUUGGACUUAGCUUGACCCUGGAGCACACUGGAACUUAUGCAACAACCCAGUGUCUCUUCCAAAGUCCCCUGCGCCCCCGCAGUGCCCUUGGCUCCUGCCCUCGCACCACAGAUAAGACAGCUGUGUCCCACCUCCAACUCUCAGGGUGAGUUGGGAUCCGGCACUGGCGGAGUCCUUACUGACUUCCGUUCUUCAAGGAUUUCCUGGACCGACUAAGGUCUUUUCCAGACUUCUUUCCCAGCUCUGCUGGGAGGAGAGGCGGCUGAUGUGUGAAGGUCCCUGGCUCAGAGCAGGUGCAGAUGGGGAAACUGAGGCUAAGAAAACAUGAAUAAUCUGACCAGAGUCACAAGAGCUAAUGAGUGGCCAAGCCUGGAAGGAGCGUUGCAGCUAUAAAAAAAAAAAAAUCAAUUUAUUGCGGAUCUUCUGAAUUGACUCAACAGAUCCAAGAAUGGGAAAACUACGAGUGCCAAGGGUCCACUCAGCAGCCCAAGGAAGAGGACACGGCUAGUGGGGAGACCUAUAUCCAAGGCCCCAUCAGGGAAGUGACGUCACUGAGUCAGGCAUGAACAAGGUCUGUGUCAUCGCAGGAGCAAAGAGCAGGCUGUUUCCCACCUGGGCCGGGCAGGUGCCUCCGGAGGUUAGAAGACAGUGGGGGGGUUGUGUGGAGCAGGCUUUGUGGAUUAUUUCCUCAGCUGGAUUCAUCUCCACUCAAGUGUCAGUGGUGAGGCCCUUCUCAGGUGACAGGUACCUUGAGAAAACGAAGGCGAGGAAGACCUACUUCCUGCCCUGACGUCAGGCUGGUGGGAGGGGAACCGACAGCAGAGAUGAGGUCUGUGUCAACUGCAGUUUAGGUGUGAUGCAGAAAGCACAGGGAGAUGGGGAAGAGAUUUGAUCAUUGGCAUCGACUCCCCUCCCCCUUCCUUCCUUUUUCUCCCCUUCCCUUCCUUCUUCCCUCUCACUCAAAUUUUCUGAGCCCAGUACUGUGAUGGCUGCAGAGGAAAACAUAAAGAAGCAGCAGACCCAUCCUCUACCUUCACAAGCUCCUGAAAUCCUGAGCGGAAGACAUGGAGCAGGACUCCCAAAUAGCAUGGUGAAGGCAGGUUGGAGGAGCCGCCGGCUGGGGCAGUCUCUAAAAGCAUGUCAGGCACAGUUGAAAAGACCUGACUAACAAAAUGCCAUUUAAUCUGCAUCUCAAAAUAACAUGGUCAGAGCAAGGACUCCAAAAAAUGUAAAUACACUGAGACAACAGCCAACUCUAUGCAGGGCCCCUGUGUACAGUUCCGCAAGUUGCGCACUGCACAAAGGGGAUGAGCCUAGGCUGAAAUCCAUCCCACCUGCUUCUGGCCAACUUGGGUGCCCUGGUGCAAGAUGGUACCUGUCCAGAGCUAAUGGGCCUUUUAUUCUAACAAAGGGGCCAUCUGCCUCCCCAAACUGUGGGGCUGCACCCGCCCAGCAGGUGGACUUUUAUCAAAUCACGUGGAGACUCCCUAUGAGGUAGCAAUGUCCCAACUCGGCCUGAGGAUUUCAAGGGAACCGACCUGGGAAGUAUUGAGGCAUUUUCAUCUUUAAAACACAAAGAAUGGCAAAGCAAAUAUCGAUCCUGAAGUCGACACCCAGAAGGUGUGUCCCAGGCUCUAGGAGGCAGCCCAAUUUCCCCGGGGAUCACACAACUUGUUAGUGGCAAAAUAUGGAGUAGGACCCGCCCUCGUGUUCGGCAGGCUUCCCUCUAAGCCCUGCAUGUUUGAGUGUCUCUCAAAAUGCAGGAAAUAGGACAGGAAAGCUGGGGCCAGGGGUCUUUCUCCAGCUUCACAAACUGUGACUGGGUUGCAGGCUGGUGUCAUAUCUUUAUGACUACUUAAAAACUCAAAAUCCGUAGUUCCCAUCAUGGCUCAGAGGGAAUGAAUCUGACUAGCACCCAUGAGGAUGCAGGUUCGAUCCACGGCCUUGCUCAGUGAAUUAAGAAUCUGGCGCUGCCGUGAGCUGCGGUGUAGGCUGGCAGCUAUAGUUCUGAUUCAACCCCAUUUGCUGUGGCUGAGGCCCCCGAAAGACAAAACACACACACACACACACAAACCUCAAAAUCCCUGUAGUCAGGAAUCUCAAAUUUUUAUAAACAGCAUCGUGUGAUUGACAAUUAUAUUCCAAGCAUGCCCAGUGAAGAUAAUAACCAUGGCAAGAACAGCAAUAAUUUGGGGUCAAUUGUAGUCAACUUCUGCUUUUCUAAUAUAAUGCUACAUUCAAAGGUCUUUUUUUAUCCCUGUAAAUUAGGAGCCAGGGAUGAUGUUCAUUGGAUAAAGAGGAGCAACAUGAGCGGUAUUUAUAUUCAGGAUCCUUAGAAUGGAGCGUGCUGGGAUGCUCUCAGUGCUGCAGUCUGACGAUGAUGGCAUUUCUAUACACAGGUGCAUGCAUCUGUAAACACUGCACUGAGCUUUACCUGGAAGAUUCGUGCACUAUAAUAGGUGUACAAAAUAAAGAGGGCACACAUCCCUUCGAUGUGUCUUUCCACGACAGGACGUUCACAUGCCUUGCCUGAUUUCAUCCUCACCCCACACUCCUGCGUGGAAAGGUGGAUGGGUUUACAGAGGAGGAAGCUCAGCCCUGCCACUCGCCAAUACAAGCAGAGACAGUCUCCCGGAAAUGCCACUUCCUUACCUGAAAGCCAUUCUAGAUAAAUUAGACUAGAUGGGGUUGUCUGUAAACCUGUGGUCACCACAGAGGUGGGCACGUCAGCAUCCUGACUGACUCCCGAGGCAGGACGCACGUUAGGCUAACUGGGGUGGAAGCCAUUGUGUGCAGAUGAAUGGACCACAGGCUGGCUGUUGGGACGGCAGGGUGUGCCCCACCUGGACAGCGCUCAUGUCCUACUGUCACCCAGUCCAACCUGCUAUUACUUGCUGCAUGACAGGCCAAUAAAUCAAGAGACGAGC